GAUGAACGCUGGCGGCGUGCUUAACACAUGCAAGUCGAACGAUGAAGCCCAGCUUGCUGGGUGGGUUAGUGGCGAACGGGUGAGUAACACGUGAGUAACCUGCCCUUAACUCUGGGAUAAGCCUGGGAAACUGGGUCUAAUACCGGAUAGGAGCGUCCACCGCAUGGUGGGUGUUGGAAAGAUUUAUCGGUUUUGGAUGGACUCGCGGCCUAUCAGCUUGUUGGUGGGGUAAUGGCUCACCAAGGCGACGACGGGUAGCCGGCCUGAGAGGGUGACCGGCCACACUGGGACUGAGACACGGCCCAGACUCCUACGGGAGGCAGCAGUGGGGAAUAUUGCACAAUGGGCGCAAGCCUGAUGCAGCGACGCCGCGUGAGGGAUGACGGCCUUCGGGUUGUAAACCUCUUUCAGUAGGGAAGAAGCGAAAGUGACGGUACCUGCAGAAGAAGCACCGGCUAACUACGUG
rnacentral:rRNA from 1 species